CCUACGGGUGGCAGCAGUGAGGAAUAUUGGUCAAUGGGCGUAAGCCUGAACCAGCCAAGUCGCGUGAGUGAUGAAGGUUCUAUGGAUCGUAAACCUCUUUUAUAAGGGAAUAAAUUUCGGGACGUGUCCCGUUUUGUAUGUACCUUAUGAAUAAGGAUCGGCUAACUCCGUGCCAGCAGCCGCGGUAAUACGGAGGAUCCGAGCGUUAUCCGGAUUUAUUGGGUUUAAAGGGUUCGUAGGCGGCUUUUUAAGUCAGCGGUGAAAGUCUGUGGCUCAACCAUAGAAUUGCCGCUGAGACUGGGCGGCUAGAGUAUGGUUGAGGCAGGCGGAAUGCGUGGUGUAGCGGUGAAAUGCUUAGAUAUGACGCAGAACCCCGAGUGCGAAGGCAGCCUGCCAAGCCAUGACUGACGCUGAUGCACGAAAGCGUGGGGAUCAAACAGGAUUAGAUACCCGAGUAGUC
rnacentral:rRNA from 1 species